rnacentral:rRNA from 1 species
GCUGCAGAAGAAGCACCGGCUAACUCCGUGCCAGCAGCCGCGGUAAGUACGGAGGGUGCGAGCGUUAAUCGGAAGUUACUAGGGCGUAAAGCGCAUGCAGGUGGUUUGUUAAGUCAGAUGUGAAAGCCCGGGGCUCAACCUCGGAAUUGCAUUUGAAACUGGCAAACUAGAGUACUGUAGGAGGGGGUAGAAUUUCAGGUGUAGCGGUGAAAUGCGUAGAGAUCUGAAGGAAUACCGGUGGCGAAGGCGGCCCCCCUGGACAGAUACUGACACUCAGAUGCGAAAGCGUGGGGAGCAAACAGGAUUAGAUACCCUGGUAG